rnacentral:rRNA from 1 species
AAAUUGAAGAGUUUGAUCAUGGCUCAGAUUGAACGCUGGCGGCAGGCCUAACACAUGCAAGUCGAACGGUAACAGGAAACAGCUUGCUGUUUCGCUGACGAGUGGCGGACGGGUGAGUAAUGUCUGGGAAACUGCCUGAUGGAGGGGGAUAACUACUGGAAACGGUAGCUAAUACCGCAUAACGUCGCAAGACCAAAGAGGGGGACCCUCGGGCCUCUUGCCAUCGGAUGUGCCCAGAUGGGAUUAGCUUGUUGGUGGGGUAACGGCUCACCAAGGCGACGAUCCCUAGCUGGUCUGAGAGGAUGACCAGCCACACUGGAACUGAGACACGGUCCAGACUCCUACGGGAGGCAGCAGUGGGGAAUAUUGCACAAUGGGCGCAAGCCUGAUGCAGCCAUGCCGCGUGUAUGAAGAAGGCCUUCGGGU